UCCGGUUUGUCACCGGCAGUCACAUUAGAGUGCCCAACUAAAUGCUGGCAACUAAUAUCAAGGGUUGCGCUCGUUACGGGACUUAACCCAACAUCUCACGACACGAGCUGACGACAACCAUGCACCACCUGUCACCUCUGUCCCCGAAGGGAAAGCCUUAUCUCUAAGGCGGUCAGAGGGAUGUCAAGACCUGGUAAGGUUCUUCGCGUAGCUUCGAAUUAAACCACAUGCUCCACCGCUUGUGCGGGCCCCCGUCAAUUCUUUUGAGUUUCAGCCUUGCGGCCGUACUCCCCAGGCGGAGUGCUUAAUGCGUUAACUGCAGCACUAAGGGGCGGAAACCCCCUAACACCUAGCACUCAUCGUUUACGGCGUGGACUAC
rnacentral:misc_RNA from 1 species